UACGAAGGGGGCUAGCGUUGCUCAGAAUCACUGGGCGUAAAGGGUGCGUAGGCGGGUCUUUAAGUCAGGGGUGAAAUCCUGGAGCUCAACUCCAGAACUGCCUUUGAUACUGAAGAUCUUGAGUUCGGGAGAGGUGAGUGGAACUGCGAGUGUAGAGGUGAAAUUCGUAGAUAUUCGCAAGAACACCAGUGGCGAAGGCGGCUCACUGGCCCGAUACUGACGCUGAGGUGCGAAAGCGUGGGGAGCAAACAGG
rnacentral:rRNA from 1 species